rnacentral:misc_RNA from 1 species
AGUGAUUAAAAUGAAUACUGCUAAGAAAGAGAGUCGACUUCUCUAGUACUAAAGAUAUCAUAACUCAUAAUUAUAUGUUUAGAAAUAUAUACAAUAUGGUUAAUGAUCAUAAUCAUCAUGCCUUAGUCAAGUAGAGAUGUGCUAUAAAGACCAAGGGGGAAAAAAAGCAAAAGGGUAUAUGGAAGAGGGGAGACAAUAAAGCAAGCCCAUUAUAAUUAAUUAAUAUGUAUAUAGGCAAAAAGGGAAGGCAAGCAUGAAGCAUGCAAAGCAAGCUAGCAUGACCACAAAGACUCCCCAACGUUGGCCUGAUCAACCACCAUGUCCACGGUGCCUGGAUUGGAAGACGAACCAUAUUGUUGCAUUCUCAUGUGAACAACCUCAGCUUGUGCAAUUGCCAACUGGGUUUGCAGAGAAUCAAUCUGUUGCUGCAAGGAUGAUAUUGCCCCAACACACCCAUAUACUGGGUCACGUACCCUAGCAUUUGCUUCAUACACAAUCGAACUCACCGCAUCACUUCGUUGAUGCUCAGGUAAUUCCUGUAACAUUUUGUUGACGUUACUUGCCCCAAAUACCUUGUGAACACUGGCAAACUUCUGAGGCUCAUCGGCUGGAAAAUAUGGAGCAAAGACACAGUCGUGAGCACAUCUCCGGCGGAGAAGCUUGCAAGCUGCGCAUGGGGAGAGUGCACCUUGUUUUCUACCACUCUCCUUCAUUCUUUGUUAAAGGUGACUAUAAACCUUUCUGAAAAAAUAUCUGUCCACUAAGAUGGCACCUUUAAUUCUCACUAUUAAUUAUAUGUAUACAAUAUCUUAUUUUGACUAAAAAAAAAGGCGAAUACCUAUGUAUGCGCACAAAAUGGGAAAGAAAGAAAGAAAGAAAGAGAUCAGUUUGCUAAUACCAUGGCUACCCUUGUUGUUCCUCAGAAUGUUUCUGUUGUUGAAGAUGCAGAAAAUCUCAGAAAAGCUUUUGAAGGAUGGGGGACAAAUGAGAAGGUUAUAAUUUCAGUUCUUGCGCAUAGAAAUGCAGCUCAAAGGAAACAGAUCAGGCUAGCUUAUUGGGACCUUUACCAAGAAGAUCUUGUUAAGCGUCUUGAGUCUGAGCUGAAAGGAGAUUUUGAGAGAGCUGUAUACAGAUGGAUAUUGGAACCACAAGACAGAGAUGCAGUAUUAGCUAAUGUGGCUCUAAAGAAAUCUUCUGAUUAUCAUGUGAUCGUUGAAAUUGCUUGCGUCCGAUCUGCAGAGGAGCUCUUGGCUGUGAGGAGGGCCUACCAGGCUCGCUACAAGCAUUCCUUAGAAGAAGAUGUGGCAGCUCAUACCACCGGCGAUGUCAGGAAGCUCUUGGUUGGGUUGGUGACCACUUUUAGGUAUGAAGGCGCUGAGAUAAAUACAAGAUUGGCCAAAUCGGAAGCUAAUAUUCUUCAGGAUGCGAUCAAAGACAAGAAGUUUAGUAAUGAUGAAGUUAUUAGGAUCUUAACUACAAGGAGCAAGACACAGCUUAUGGCUACUUUCAAUGGCUUCAAAGAUGACCAGGGAACUUCCAUCACUAAGGCUUUGUUGGGUGAGCCUGCUGAUAAUGAGUUCAAACGCUUGCUUCGCAUAGCCAUUCGAUGCAUAAACGAACCUCUUAAGUACCAUGAGAAGAUUUUGAGGAAUGCAAUCAGAAAGUUUGGGACUGAUGAGGAUGCAAUUACUCGUGUGAUCGUCACAAGGGCAGAGAAGGACUUGUUGGAUAUCAAGGAACUUUACUACAAGAGGAACAGUGUGCUUCUUGAUCAAGCAGUGGCCAAGGAAACUUCUGGGGAUUACAAGGCUUUCCUCCUUGCUCUGCUAGGAAAGCAGGAUUAAGAUUAGUAUCUUAAUCAUUUAAGAGUAUUUAAGUUGGAAAAUAAAUAAUGGUUUUGUGAGCUUUCAUUUUGAAUUUGUGUUGGUCUUGAGAGCUUUCUUUCUGGUGUGAGACAAUUUGUAGCCUAUUUUAUGCUAUCUUUAUUUAUUGCAGAGUUUCUCUAAGAAGUUGCUUUAUUUAUUAGUAGUUAUAACUCAACUCAACUAAGCUUUUAUUCCAAAAAUUUAUCCAAAAAGCCAGACGAGGAGACGUGUUGAUGAAAUUAUGGUGGAAUUGAUGAGUACCAUUGCCACAAACACUGGUAAGAUAGCUGAUGCAUUAACAGAAAAUAACAACAAUGUUUGCUUGGAUGAGGUUUUUAAGAUGGUGCAGAAUGUACCAGGCUUUGAUGAUGAUAUGAUUAUUGAUGCUUGUGAGUAUCUGUCAUCUGAAGAGAGUAGAGCCAGAAUGUUCAUGAAAUUAGAUGACAGAUUGAGAACACUUUGGCUUUUGAAACGUUUGCGUGAUCUGGGCAGUUGAAUAUUGCAAUAAACUGAAUCAUUCAUUUUUAAUAUUGGCUAACUUGAAUUUAGUUCACAGAAUCAAAAUUUCUAAGUAUAGAAAAGCCUUGAAGAAUCAAGAUAAAGCUUUCAAAUUUCAACAUAUUCCAUCUCUUAUAUAUAUUUGGUUAAGAUUGAAUACGAACUGUGUUUGCAGAAGGCCACAAGCUUUUAUGUCACAUCCCUAGCUUAUGUAGUGCUCGCUGCUUAGCGUUAAAAAGAGGAGUUUCUGCACUUGCGGUGUUGCUCCUUAAUUUGUUUGUCAAAUAUGAUUUGUCUCCCCAAGUUAUCAAAUUUGUUUAUCUGAAUAUGGUUUUAUGUUUGUGUCUACGCGCCUUGUUAGUUCUUUCUAUUUGUACAUCGAUAAGUCAUCGUAUUGUUUGCUCAGUCUCACCCUGUUGGAGGCAACAAUGAACCAUUCUUGUCUAACGAGUGCGGAGACUAUGUCUUUUUACCUUAAUUUCAUGUGCAAGGAUUGUAGGCCUUCUCUGUACAAUUAGAUUGAUGUUCUGCAAUGCAACAAACUGAAUCUCAGGUUCUGCAGAAAGUAAUGUCACAAGAGGCGGAGCCAUCUUCUUGCAAAGAUUUUGAACAACAUCAGUGCUAGUGAUAAGUUCCAUUUGUUGAAGGAUCAUCUUAACAGCUGAAAGCACAACCGCACAAUUAGCAUGAAGUAGACAUGUAGUUGUGGAGUAACUCGCUCCACUAUAUUUUCAGUCUCACGAGCAUCAGCUGCUUUGUAUCUAGAAAGGGCAUCCAGUAUAAAAACUUGGCCCCACUCUGUGCAUUCAUUUAGAGCAGUAAGUAGUUUGGACAAUGUAUGACCAGUGAUCUCAAAGAGAGGUCUGCUACUAUUCUCUUGAAUCUCUGCAAGGGCUGCCACAGCAUUUGCUACAACCAUUGGAUUAUUGUCAGAUAUCAAAUCCUUGAGAGAUUCCAGAAAACCCCUAUCUUCAACUAACUCGGCAUUUAUGUCAAAAAGUUUGGCCACACAAAUGGCUGCUGUCUUGCGAACAUAAGGAUCAUCAUCCUUCAGACACCUCUGAAGGGGAUCACAUAAAUACUCUAUAAUUUUGUCAACACGAAUGCAACCCAUUGUCCGUACAGCCAAAGCUCGAAUCAGAGGAUUUGGAUCUCGUGAAUCCUUUGCAAAUGUAUUUACAGCAAGUAUUGCUAGAUCAGGCUGGCUUUUCGCAUAAUUUAUAAGAUAUAAAUAAACCAGCGUUUUAAGCUCCAAAUUUUCCGUUUGCAUACAAUUAACUACAUCAGUGAAAAGUGAUGACACAUCCUUUCCAACAGUCAAGGCAGCAAUCACCUUCUUAACAGCAUCUUUUCUCUUGUCCUUGUACUGAGAAUUGAGUUCUUCCUUGAGUUCAGGGAUUUCAAGGGAUCUUGGUGGUGGAGAAAUACUUCGAAUCGUGGCCACUUAUGGCUGGGCUCUGAACCAAUCAACUCCACAAUGCACAGAGAAAGUGAUUUGAUUCCACUUACUCGUGUGCAAAGCACUCUCAUCUUCCUCAAUGAUAAACAAUAAAAAAAAAAUGAGAAAUAACAGGCAGAGAUUAGAUGCAACUACGGAGGAACUAUUAACCGGUCCUUAAGAUCCGUUACUCAGGUCUUCUGUUUCCUCCAGAAUAGGAAAGAAUCAGAAUUCUAGAGAAAGAAACUCAAAUUCCGUAUCUCAUAUUCAUGUAAUUUAGCUGAGGAAAAGCGAAUUGAACUAAAAUUGUAACAUUCGUCAAUGCAUUCACAAAACCUAACACAAUUUCAAGCGUAUAGCUUCACAAACACGAUCCAGUUCGAACAAAUCACAAGAAAUUCCUAGAUCUAACAUGAUGCAACUUGGAAAAUAGUGAAAGUAGACAGUCAACUUACGAAUCACAGAAUGAGGAAGUGAUAUACGGCAGCGGAGGCUUCCGGCAGCUAAGAAGAAGUGAGUUUACCGCCGGCGACCAAGUCGAC